rnacentral:tRNA from 1 species
GGGUGUUUGGCAGAGUGGUCGAAUGCGGCUGGCUGUAAACCAGUUCCCAAAAGGCACGGUGGUUCGAAUCCAUCAGCACCCACCA